rnacentral:rRNA from 1 species
UGAGUACGAGACGCUAAGGCGUCGAAGUAGUGUAUGUCAUACUUCCAAGAAAAGCUUGCACUGUCAUUCAUAAAAAAUGCCUGUACCAUAACCGACACAGGUGGGUAGGUAGAGUAUACUAAGGGGCGCGAGAUAACUCUCUCUAAGGAACUCGGCAAAAUAACUCCGUAACUUCGGGAGAAGGAGUGCCUUAUUUAUAUAAGGUUGCAAUAACAAGAUCCAAGCAACUGUUCACCAAAAACACAGGUCUCCGCUAAGUCGUAAGACGAUGUAUGGGGGCUGACGCCUGCCCAGUGCCAGAAGGUUAAAGAAGUUGGUUAGCAAUAGCGAAGCUGAUAACUGAAGCCCUGGUGAACGGCGGCCGUAACGAUAAUGGUCCUAAGGUAGCGAAAUUCCUUGUCGGGUAAGUUCCGACCCGCACGAAAGGCGUAAUGAUUUGGAUACUGUCUCGGAGAGGGACUCGGUGAAAUAGACUUGUCUGUGAAGAUGCGGACUACCUGCACCUGGACAGAAAGACCCUAUGAAGCUUUACUGUAACUUGAAAUUGAAAUUGGACUUUAUUCGCGCAGUAUAGGUGGGAGGCGUUGAAAAUAAUCUUGCGGGACUAUUGGAGCCAUCAGUGAGAUACCACUCUUAUAAUGUUAGAUUUCUAACUUUGAAUCAUUAUCUGGUCAAAGAACAGUUUCAGGCGGGCAGUUUGACUGGGGCGGUCGCCUCCCAAACGGUAACGGAGGCGUACAAAGGUUUCCUCUGAACGGGUAGAAAUCGUAUCUAGAGUAUAAAGGCAAAAGGAAGCUUGACUGUGAGACCUACAAGUCGAGCAGGGACGAAAGUCGGUCUUAGUGAUCUGACGGUACUGAGUGGAAAGGCCGUCACUCAACGGAUAAAAGUUACUCUAGGAUAACAGGCUGAUCUCCCCCAAGAGUUCACAUCGACGGGGAGGUUUGGCACCUCGAUGUCGGCUCAUCGCAUCCUGGGGCGGUAGUACGUCCCAAGGGUUGGGCUGUUCGCCCAUGAAAGCGGUACGCGAGCUGGGUUCAGAACGUCGUGAGACAGUUCGGUCCAUAUCCGGUGUAGGCGUUAGAAUAUUGAGAGGAGCCUUCUUUAGUACGAGAGGACCGAGAAGGACAUACCUCUGGUGUACCAGUUAUCGUGCCAACGGUAAACGCUGGGUAGCUAUGUAUGGAGUGGAUAACCGCUGAAAGCAUCUAAGUGGGAAGCCCACCUCAAGAUGAGUAUUCAC